AUUGAACGCUGGCGGCAGGCCUAACACAUGCAAGUCGAACGGAGCGACGGACGGGCGAGUAAUGCAUAGGAAUCUACCUGGUAGUGGGGGAUAACUUCCGGAAACGGGCGCUAGUCCCGCCUACUCUCAGACAGGCCUACUGCGAAUUAGCUAGUUGGUGGGGUAAAGGACUACCAAGGCGACGAACCGUACCUGGUCUGAGAGGAUGAUCAGACAAACUGGAACUGAGACACGGUCCAGACUCCUACGGGAGGCAGCAGUGGGGAAUAUUGGACAAUGGGCGAAAGCCUGAUGCAGCCAUGCCGCGUGUGUGAAGAAGGUCUUCGGGUUGUAAAGCACUUUAAGCUAGGAGGCGUUACCAGCAGAAGAAGCACCGGCUAACUCCGUGCCAGCAGCCGCGGUAAUUC
rnacentral:rRNA from 1 species